rnacentral:rRNA from 1 species
UUGAUCCUSGGCUCAGGACGAACGCUGGCGGCGUGCCUAAGCUUAUGCAAGUCGAACGCGAACGGCUCCUUCGGGAGCCUAGUAGAGUGGCAAACGGGUGAGUAACGCGUGGGUAACGUACCCUGAUCCUGGGAAUAACCCUCGGAAACGAGGGCUAAUACCGAAUGUKGCGAACGACCGGUUGGUCGCUCGCUAAAGGUGGCCUCUUCUAUGCUGCCGGGUUGGGAUCGGCCCGCGUCCCAUUAGCUAGUUGGUGAGGUAACGGCUCACCAAGGCCACGAUGGGUAGCCGGCCUGAGAGGGUGUACGGCCACACUGGCACUGAGACAAGGGCCAGUCCCCUAUGGGAGGCGCAGGCGGGAAUAGUUCACAAUGGGCGAAACCUGGAUGACGCGACGCCGCGUGACAAGAAGACCUUCGGGUUGUAAAGCUCUGUCAGGAGGGAAGAAGGCUCUACGGGUUAAUAGCCCGUGGAAUUGACGGUACCUCCAGAGGAAGCCCCGGCUAAAUACGUGCCAGCAGCCGCGGUAAUACGUAUGGGGCAAGCGUUGUCCGGAUUUACUGGGCGUAAAGGGCGCGUAGGCGGUUUGUUAAGUCGAAGGUGAAAUCCUCCGGCUCAACUCGAGAAUUGCCUUCGAUACUKGCAAACUAGAGUGGCGGAGAGGAAAGCGGAACUCUUUGUGUAACGGUGGAAUGUGUAGAUAUCAAGAGGAACACCGGUGGCGAAAGCGGCUUUCU